rnacentral:rRNA from 1 species
UACGUAGGGGGCAAGCGUUGUUCGGAAUUACUGGGCGUAAAGCGCGCGUAGGCGGUUUGGAAAGUCAGAUGUGAAAGCCCCGGGCUCAACUUGGGAACUGCAUUUGAUACUGCCAGACUAGAGUACAGAAGAGGUGACUGGAAUUCCCAGUGUAGCGGUGAAAUGCGUAGAUAUCGAGAGGAACACCAGUGGCGAAGGCGAGUCCCUGGACAACACCUGACACUGAGGCACGAAAGCUAGGGGAUCAAACGGG